UACAGAGGUCCCAAGCGUUGUUCGGAUUCACUGGGCGUAAAGAGCGUGUAGGCGGCUUGGUAAGUCCGCUGUGAAAGUCCAGGGCUCAACCCUGGAAUGCCGGUGGAAACUGUCAAGCUUGAGUCCGGAAGAGGCGAGUGGAAUUCCUGGUGUAGCGGUGAAAUGCGCAGAUAUCAGGAGGAACACCAAUGGCGAAGGCAGCUCGCUGGGACGGUACUGACGCUGAGACGCGAAAGCGUGGGGAGCAAACAGG
rnacentral:rRNA from 1 species